GAGGAUAGGAGAACAGGGCCCAUCCACACCAGCGGUCGGGGGCUAAGAAAGAAGAGUUGACUUGGCGGCCUCCUCACCUUCUUGCUUCUCUACGCCCCCUUGCCCAGAGAACUAUCUGGUGGAGCGGAUGCCCUCCUUGUGUUUUGAGAUUUCUGAGAGGCCCCCAGGUGCGCCUGCUAUAGCGAUGAUCCUUGGUCUUUAAUUAGCCUCCACCAGCAAGACUGUUUGUUCUGGUUCCUUCCAGUCAUCACUCUAGAGGAGUAAGAGCACUGCACAGAGUGUCAGGAGGUCUCCGCCGGCUACACGGUCUCGGGCGCGACACUUCCUUUUCCAGGUCUUAGUGCCUAGUCUGAGCCGUCUGGUGUCUUUCAUCUCUAAAGCAUUUGGAUUUGACAUCCCAGGCUUUCUCCACCUCUGCCCAGGUUUCUGGUGCAGGGCAGGCUUUUUGAACGACCUGCCAGGAUUCCUUUGACGCUUUGUGGGAAGGAGUAGCAGAAAUGGAGGACUGGUCUCCUGAGUAGACUCCUGUCUCCAAAGUGGGUAGGAGCCCUCCAGAGGGAGUGUGGCCCCAUCCCUCUUGGGAAUGUGGAAAUUCUAGAAGAGCAGGUUUUUUCAGUCACCAAGAGUUGGCAGACUACAACCCUUGGGUCAGAUGCCUGCUUUUAUAAAUAAAGUUUUAUUGGAACACAGA